GAAGUGUAUUUUUCCUUAACUGGACUCCAUGCACUAGAAUCAUGGAUCCACCACCCUCAGACCCUCCACCGAGUCAAGCACCACUUCUAUCACCUCAAACUCCUCAAUCCGGUGGAUGUCUUGAAUCAUUCCUCUGGUUUCUAUCCUGCUGUGGUUUGUUGUCAUGUUGCUGCCCUCCACUCUUUGAGCCAUGGCCUCCACCUCCCUAGAGAUUGCAAUGCUUGCUUUUGAUGUCUAAGGAAUUUAACUACAUUUAAUUUCUUAUCCUGAAAUCAAUGUCACCACAUUAGUUUUAUGUAUUGUUGUGCCACACCUUUGUAUGUUUGUUACUUUAUCUUUCCUUUAACACUA